rnacentral:rRNA from 1 species
UACGUAGGGUGCAAGCGUUGUCCGGAAUUAUUGGGCGUAAAGAGCUCGUAGGCGGUCUGUCGCGUCGGCUGUGAAAACCCGAGGCUCAACCUCGGGCCUGCAGUCGAUACGGGCAAACUAGAGUACUGCAGGGGAGACUGGAGUUCCCGGUGUAGUGGUGAAAUGCGUAGAUAUCGGGAGGAACACCAGUGGCGAAGGCGACUACCCUGGCCUGUUUCUUGACGCUGAGGCGCGAAAGCUAGGGGGAGCAAACGGG